rnacentral:rRNA from 1 species
AUUGAACGCUAGCGGCAGGCCUAACACAUGCAAGUCGAACGAGUGGCGGACAGGUGAGUAAUGUCGGGGAAACUGCCUGAUGGAGGGGGAUAACUACUGGAAACGGUAGCUAAUACCGCAUACCAUCGGAUGUGCCCCGAUGGGAAUAGCUAGUAGGUGGGGGAACGUCUAACCUAGGCGACGAUCCCUAGCUGGUAUGAGAGGAGGACCAGCAAUACUGUUACUGAGACACGUUCCAGACUCCUACGUGAGGCACCAGUGGGGAAUAUUGCACCAUGUGCGCAAGCCUGAGGCAUCCAUGCCGCGUUUAUGACGAAGGCCUUCGGGUUGUAAAGUACUUUCAGCGGGGAGGCGUUACCCGCAGAAGAAGAUCUGGCUAACUCCGGGCCAGCCGCCGCGGUAAUUC